AUCACUAUUUUAUAACUGUCAACUUGUUAUGAAGAAUAUUGCACUCACCAACUUUAAUUAAUUGUUGUAUGUUGUAGAAAACUGAACUAGGUGUGGCAGAUGUAGAACGGUACCAAGUAUGGAUAAGAGCACGAGAAAAGAGGAAGGUUCUUGUCACAGAUUUGGACAAACAAAUUGAAGCAAGAAUUAAUGAGCUGAAAGAAAAAGUUAGUAGUGGAGAAAUCAUUGCAAAGGGUCGGAAUGACAUAUUAACGCAAGCUUUAGGGACACCUGAGCACCCAGGGCGUGUUAGAGCACUUGGGUCGUUUGCGAAGAUUUCGUCCGUCUUUGGAAGAAAACCAAAAAUAGCAACAGAAAUGGCUGAUGUUGUUAGUAAGAAAGAUGCAGAAAUUGCGAGGCUCAAAGCAGAACUUAAAGCUUUAGAGGAGGA